rnacentral:rRNA from 1 species
UGGGGAAUAUUGCACAAUGGACGAAAGUCUGAUGCAGCGAUUCCGCGUGGAGGAUGAAGCAUUAAGGUGUGUAAACUCCUUUUCUGGUGGAAGACGAAUGACGGUACACCAGGAAUAAGGGACGGCUAACUACGUGCCAGCAGCCGCGGUAAUACGUAGGUCCCGAGCGUUAUCCGGAUUUACUGGGCGUAAAGAGUCUGUAGCCUGAUAAAUAAGUCUGUCUUUAAAUACCUGGACUCAAUCGAGGGAAGGGGAUAGAUACUGUUUAUCUAGAGAUUUUGAGGGGUUAAUGGAAUUUCCGGUGGAGCGGUGAAAUGCGUUGAUAUCGGAAAGAAUGCCGAAAGCGAAAGCAGUUAACUAUCAAAAAUCUGACGGUGAGAGACGAAAGCUUGGGGAGCAAACGGG